UGCGGGGAGAGGGAGGAGAGACGCAGACAGCGAGAGUGUCUCGUUUCUCUGCGCUCUC
ensembl:ncRNA C08E8.13 ncRNA